AGAACAGGUCUUGAGCUGCCUGGAGAACAUGCUGUGGCACCCAACAUGGCCACACAGGAGGUCUCUGCCUGCCUCUGCUGUCCCUGAUGCCGAAGGAGGACAGGCUGUGCCGGACAAUUAUGUGAUCGUGACAAAGCCAAGUGACUCCCAGGGAUCAUCCACAAUGAUGAUGAGAGCCGGUGGGGAACACCAUGGAGGAGAAUGAAACAAUUACGAGCGUCUUUUAAAGGAAACUGUGAGAGAGAGGACUCCAGACGCUGCAGUGUGACAGCUAAACCAAGGAGCAUCGGAUGCAAUGGAAUUGCUCUACAAGCAACCUUGCCAAAGGCCCUUUUGCUGCACAAAGCUGGCUCUAUCUUUGUAUAUUGAGGGAACUAAAUCAAUGUUAAAUGCUUGGCUCUUUUCACAGGACAAUGACCAGGACCUAAGCUGCGUCCUUCCUAUUUGAUUGACACUUGAAACGUUGAGUUGGAAUCAGCCAGAGGCACUGCUACAAGCUUGAAGCCUCUGCUGGGGAUAACAACUGGUGACAUCUGCAGAAAGGCCGACAAAAGGCAGUUGAAAGCCGUGUUUGUUGCUUUCCCCUCUCAGAUCUCCUCUCUUUCAUGGAGCUCCUUACUUGCUUUAAUAUUAUGAUUCAGCACCUGGCUCUUUUGAACCUUGCUUUAAACUUCAAAAGGCGAGGUGGUAUUAACAAACAUGAAACGAAAAAGUGGCAGUAGUUUGAUUUACUGUUGUCGUCUUAUCAAGGGGGUUUUUUGUCACCAGCUGCCACUUUCUGUCAUCUUUGGAACCAUUAUCAUUUCUCUAAAAUCUAAAAGACUCCACUUAAUAACAGCUUUGAAUACAGGCAGGAUCAGUAACGUAUACAGUUCUGGGAUGACAGGGCCGUCAAAUGAAAAGAAAGAUGUUGCCAAAAAAAAAAAAAAAAUCCUUAAAGAAAAAAAAGCAAUAAAACAAAUAAAAGCCAUAGUACUUCUAAGUGACCUUGAUUUCAGAAUUAAACAAAUCAAGCACAAUUCCAUUGUUCUUUCUGGAUUAAUUCUGCACUUUCUUUGCAGUGUUUCUUUUUUGUUCUCAGGACUAAGGGAAAACAAAGCCAAGGCUUUCAGAAAACUGCUCGGCACACAACAAGCACUUGGUAUCACAUGAGUGCUGUAAGCUUCUCACUGUAAAACUGCCAGCGAUAAUUACUGGUCUCGUUUCCCCACCAUCCCAGCACAGCAACUCACAUUCAGGCUGAGCUGCCUUGCUAGUCAAAAAAACGGUCAACUCCCCUCUUAUAGUGCUGCUCCAUGCUUUCCUGCAGACCUUCCCAACAUGGUUGUGUUGGUCUUUGGGUGCCAAGGCAGAACCAAGUGCCUGGUCAAGUUUGCCCAUUGCAGCUGCUCACAUUAAGCCACAGGCAG